CUGACCCAAGAAAAAAUAGUGUUACUAAAUGUAAAACAAUACAGAGAAGUUUAGCAUGGCCCCUGCAUAAAGAUGACAUGCAAAUUCGUUCAGUGUCCCUAUUUUUC